UUCUUAUUGGAUAUGAUGACUGUCACGUGUCAUGUUCUGAUUGGAUCUCAACUCCAUGAAAGAUGAAAUGCAUUAUUGUUUUCAUUGACCAAUCAGAACAUGCCACGUGACAGUCAUCAUCC
rfam:Glycine soja cultivar W05 scaffold2439_11, whole genome shotgun sequence.